rnacentral:rRNA from 1 species
GCGACCCCAGGUCAGACGGCAUUA